GCUGGAGUGGUGGAAUGGCAUACACGCCGGUCUCAAAAACCGGUGGGGUUACACCCGUGUGGGUUCAACUCCCACCUCCAGCA
rnacentral:tRNA from 1 species